rnacentral:rRNA from 1 species
AGGUUAACCGCAUAGGGGAGCCGUAGAGAAAUCGAGUCUUAAUAGGGCGUUUAGUUGCUGGGUAUAGACCCGAAACCAGGUGAUCUAUCCAUGAGCAGGUUGAAGGUUGGGUAACACUAACUGGAGGACCGAACCCACUGUCGUUGAAAAGCCAGGGGAUGACUUGUGGAUAGGGGUGAAAGGCUAAUCAAACUCGGUGAUAGCUGGUUCUCCCCGAAAGCUAUUUAGGUAGCGCCUCGGACGAAUACCAUUGGGGGUAGAGCACUGUUUCGGCUAGGGGGUCAUCCCGACUUACCAAACCGAUGCAAACUCCGAAUACCUAUGAGUACUAUCCGGGAGACAGACUGCGGGUGCUAACGUCCGUAGUCAAGAGGAAAACAAUCCAGACCGCCAGCUAAGGCCCCAAAAUUAUAGUUAAGUGGGAAACGAUGUGGGAAGGCAUAGACAGCUAGGAGGUUGGCUUAGAAGCAGCCACCCUUUAAAGAAAGCGUAAUAGCUCACUAGUCGAGUCGGCCUGCGCGGAAGAUGUAACGGGGCUAAAACUAUAUGCCGAAGCUGCGGAUUUGCAAUUUAUUGCAAGUGGUAGGGGAGCGUUCUGUAAGCCGAUGAAGGUGUAUUGAGAAGUAUGCUGGAGGUAUCAGAAGUGCGAAUGCUGACGUGAGUAACGACAAUGCGAGUGAAAAACUCGCACGCUGAAAGACCAAGGGUUCCAGUCCAACGUUAAUCGGGGCUGGGUGAGUCGACCCCUAAGGCGAGGCCGAGAGGCGUAGUCGAUGGGAAAUUGGUUAAUAUUCCAAUACUUCUAUGUAAUGCGAUGAGAGGACGGAGAAGGUUAAGUCAGCCUGGCGUUGGUUGUCCAGGUGGAAGGUUGUAGGCAUGUAUCUUAGGCAAAUCCGGGGUACUCUAUGCUGAGAACUGAUAGCAAGCUGUACUUGUACAGUGAAGUGGCUGAUACCAUGCUUCCAGGAAAAGUCUCUAAGCUUCAGUUACAUAGGAAUCGUACCCGAAACCGACACAGGUGGUCAGGUCGAGUAGACCAAAGCGCUUGAGAGAACUCUGCUGAAGGAACUAGGCAAAAUGGUACCGUAACUUCGGGAGAAGGUACGCUGCCGACGGUGAUAGGAUUUACUCCUUGAGCUAUUGGCAGCCACAGAAACCAGGCCCCUGCAACUGUUUAUUAAAAACAUAGCACUCUGCAAACACGAAAGUGGACGUAUAGGGUGUGAUGCCUGCCCGGUGCUGGAAGGUUAAUUGAUGGGGUUAGCGUAAGCGAAGCUCUUGAUCGAAGCCCCAGUAAACGGCGGCCGUAACUAUAACGGUCCUAAGGUAGCGAAAUUCCUUGUCGGGUAAGUUCCGACCUGCACGAAUGGCAUAAUGAUGG